rnacentral:lncRNA from 1 species
CAUAAAGGAAUUGGCUUGUGAACCUCACAAAUUUGAGAGACUUUCUUCUGAAAAGAGUACCCUCAUUCCUUAUUCUAACAAAAUUAUACAUUUUUUGGUGGGCAAAAGAAAAGAAUUUUAUUGAUUGGUGUUUUAGUUUUAGACUUUGUGUCGGUUCCACUGGAGCUUCCUGAUCAAGUUGCUCCACCGGAUCUUUUCUUUUCUCUGUUUCUAAUAGAAAUAUGAUGAACUUAUGGACCAGUCCACCAAAAAUGGUUCCAAUCAAUUGGGAAAGCCUAAUUGGAUGCACAAAUUUAAUUGGGUAGCAAGAAUGUGGAAUUGAUAAAUAAUUUGGAAAGAAUUGGAUUAAAUUAGUGAAAAAGGCAGGAUUAGGUGGAGCCACGUUAGCUGGUUCAAGUCAAACUGAUGAACUUAGCAGAAACCUUACUUAGUUGAGCUUAAAAUUGGUCAAUAGGAACUGGAAUUAAGUAGCUAAAUUGAUGAAAUCAUGUUAAGCAGAUCGAAUGAUUAAACAGUUAAAAUAAUUCCUAAAUGGUUAUCUUUUCGUAAACAAAGCAAUGCUCCUACUAGCUUUGCUUUAUGUAGUAAUUGGAGGUUUGAUCAUUGUUUUUGCAUCACUGAGGCAG